rnacentral:rRNA from 1 species
CUUUACUGUAUCCUGGAAUUGAAUUUGGGUUUAUUUUGCGCAGUAUAGGUGGGAGGCUAAAACUGUUUAUUUGCGGAUAUUCACGAGCCACUAGUGAGAUACCACUCUAAUUAAACUAGAAUUCUAACUUUGAUAGUCGUUAUCCGGCCAAAGAACAGUUUCAGGUGGGCAGUUUGACUGGGGCGGUCGCCUCCUAAAAGGUAACGGAGGCGUGCAAAGGUUUCUUCAGGCUGGUUGGAAAUCAGUCGUAGAGUAUAAAGGCAUAAAGAAGCUUGACUGCAAGACCUACAAGUCGAGCAGAGACGAAAGUCGGCCUUAGUGAUCCGACAGUACUGAGUGGAAAGGCUGUCGCUCAACGGAUAAAAGUUA